rnacentral:rRNA from 1 species
GUGCCAGCCGCCGCGGUAAUACGGAGGGUGCGAGCGUUAAUCGGAAUUACUGGGCGUAAAGGGCACGCAGGCGGUUAAUUAAGUUGGAUGUGAAAUCCCCGGGCUUAACCUGGGAAUGGCAUUCAAGACUGGUUAGCUAGAGUCUUGUAGAGGGGGGUAGAAUUCCAUGUGUAGCGGUGAAAUGCGUAGAGAUGUGGAGGAAUACCGGUGGCGAAGGCGGCCCCCUGGACAAAGACUGACGCUCAUGUGCGAAAGCGUGGGGAGCAAACAGGAUUAGAUACCCUGGUAGUCCACGCUGUAAACGAUGUCGAUUUGGAGGUUGUGGUCAAGAACUGUGGCCUCCGGAGCUAACGCGUUAAAUCGACCGCCUGGGGAGUACGGCCGCAAGGUUAAAACUUAAAGGAAUUGACGG